rnacentral:rRNA from 1 species
UACGUAGGUGGCAAGCGUUGUCCGGAUUUAUUGGGUUUAAAGGGUGCGUAGGCGGUCCUAUAAGUCAGUGCUGAAAUAUCCCAGCUUAACUGGGAGGGUGGCAUUGAUACUGCAGGACUUGAGUAGAGUCGAAGUAGGCGGAAUUGACGGUGUAGCGGUGAAAUGCUUAGAUAUCGUCAAGAACACCGAUAGUGAAGACAGCUUACUAGGCUCAAACUGACGCUGAGGCACGAAAGUGUGGGGAUCAAACAGG